CAGGACGAACGCUGGCGGCGUGCCUAAUACAUGCAAGUCGAGCGGACAGAUGGGAGCUUGCUCCCUGAUGUUAGCGGCGGACGGGUGAGUAACACGUGGGUAACCUGCCUGUAAGACUGGGAUAACUCCGGGAAACCGGGGCUAAUACCGGAUGGUUGUCUGAACCGCAUGGUUCAGACAUAAAAGGUGGCUUCGGCUACCACUUACAGAUGGACCCGCGGCGCAUUAGCUAGUUGGUGAGGUAACGGCUCACCAAGGCGACGAUGCGUAGCCGACCUGAGAGGGUGAUCGGCCACACUGGGACUGAGACACGGCCCAGACUCCUACGGGAGGCAGCAGUAGGGAAUCUUCCGCAAUGGACGAAAGUCUGACGGAGCAACGCCGCGUGAGUGAUGAAGGUUUUCGGAUCGUAAAGCUCUGUUGUUAGGGAAGAACAAGUGCCGUCAA
rnacentral:rRNA from 1 species